UUACGGUCGUAUCACAUUAAAACAGCGGUUCUCGUUCAAUCACCGAAGUUAAACAACGUGGAUCCUGGUCAGUACAUAGAUGGGUAACCAAUUAGGAAUACCAGGUGCUGCG